CCUACGGGAGGCAGCAGUGGGGAAUAUUGCACAAUGGGGGAAACCCUGAUGCAGCCAUGCCGCGUGUGUGAAGAAGGCCUUCGGGUUGUAAAGCACUUUCAGCGAGGAGGAAAGGUUGGUGCCUAAUACGUAUCAGCUGUGACGUUACUCGCAGAAGAAGCACCGGCUAACUCCGUGCCAGCAGCCGCGGUAAU
rnacentral:rRNA from 1 species